rnacentral:rRNA from 1 species
AGCGAACGCUGGCGGCAGGCCUAACACAUGCAAGUCGAACGGACCCUUCGGGGUUAGUGGCGGACGGGUGAGUAUCACGUGGGAACGUGCCUUUAGGUUCGGAAUAGCUCCUGGAAACGGGUGGUAAUGCCGAAUGUGCCCUUCGGGGGAAAGAUUUAUCGCCUUUAGAGCGGCCCGCGUCUGAUUAGCUAGUUGGUGGGGUAAUGGCUCACCAAGGCGACGAUCAGUAGCUGGUCUGAGAGGAUGACCAGCCACAUUGGGACUGAGACACGGCCCAAACUCCUACGGGAGGCAGCAGUGGGGAAUCUUGCGCAAUGGGCGAAAGCCUGACGCAGCCAUGCCGCGUGAAUGAUGAAGGUCUUAGGAUUGUAAAAUUCUUUCACCGGGGACGAUAAUGACGGUACCCGGAGAAGAAGCCCCGGCUAACUUCGUGCCAGCCGCCGCGGUAACAC